UGGGGAAUCUUGCGCAAUGGGCGAAAGCCUGACGCAGCGACGCCGCGUGAGGGAAGAAGGCCUUCGGGUUGUAAACCUCUUUCAGGAGGGACGAAGCUACUCGGGUUAAUAGCCCAGAGGGUGACGGUACCUCCAGAAGAAGCCCCGGCUAACUACGUGCCAGCAGCCGCGGUAAUACGUAGGGGGCUAGCGUUGUCCGGAUUUAUUGGGCGUAAAGAGCGUGUAGGCGGCCAGGUAGGUCUGCUGUGAAAACUCGAGGCUCAACCUCGAGACGUCGGCGGAAACCAUCUGGCUAGAGUCCGGAAGAGGAGAGUGGAAUUCCUGGUGUAGCGGUGAAAUGCGCAGAUAUCAGGAAGAACACCCGUGGCGAAGGCGGCUCUCUGGGACGGUACUGACGCUGAGACGCGAAAGCGUGGGGAGCGAACAGG
rnacentral:rRNA from 1 species